rnacentral:rRNA from 1 species
CGGCGGACGGGUGAGUAACACGUGGGUAACCUACCUAUAAGACUGGGACAACUUCGGGAAACCGGAGCUAAUACCGGAUAAGAUAUCGAACCGCAUGGUUCGAUAGUGAAAGAUGGUUUUGCUAUCACUUAUAGAUGGACCCGCGCCGUAUUAGCUAGUUGGUGAGGUAACGGCUCACCAAGGCAACGAUACGUAGCCGACCUGAGAGGGUGAUCGGCCACACUGGAAUGAGACGCGGUCCAGACUCCUACGGGAGGCAGCAGCU